GCUUCAGCUGGCUUCCACUGAACGACCCUAAAUAUGUUAAGAUAUGUUUAUUCUGAAUGUAAGGCGCUAAAGGAAUGCUAAAAAAGUUCACAGAAACACAAGAUCAACUUAAAGGACACUAAGUACGAUGGCAGACCAAAUCUACCGUAUGAUCACAGGUGAUGUAACGGAUUUGCCACCAAAAGAAUCAAACAUUGUGCGGAUAUUCACAAGCUCCACAUUCACAGAUACCUUCGAAGAAAGAAACAAACUUAUGAAAGAUGUCUAUCCGAAUCUGCGAACUUAUUGUGAGCAGCAUAGUCUUGAGUUCCAAGUAGUUGACAUGCGCUGGGGAGUACGAGAUGAAGCAUCCGCUGACCACAAAACUAGUGAACUGUGUAUCGAGGAAAUAAAAACCUGUAAAAGACUCACACCCGGGCCAAACUAUGUGUGUUUUUUGGGUGAUAAGUAUGGCUAUCGUCCCUUCCCGUGCAAAAUCCCAGCUACAGAAUUCGAGCUGCUUCUUGAAAUUUCACGAAACUGUGAAGAUAUCCCCACAGCAGACAUUGAACUGCUUACAGAAUGGUUCUUGAAGGAUGACAAUGCCAUCCCGGCUGAGUAUGUCCUCCAACCAGUAACGUCUAAACUACAUUACUACACUGACAUGCGUGAAAAAUCCCGUGAACAGAACAAGAAAGAACGAGCGCAGUGGUGGAAUAUCUUCGAGACUUUUCAAAGAGUGUUAAGGCAAGCAGCACGUAUCGCUGGUAACCAGGGCAAGUUAUCUUCAAAAGAUGUUCACAAGUAUUUCAAAUCAGUUACAGAGGACGAAAUCGAGCAUGGCAUCCUCGAAUCAGCGGACCCAGAAUCUCAAACCCUCUGCUACUUCCGACAUAUCGAAGAUAUCCACGUGAACAUCCAAGAAGAAAAGACUCGCUUAUACACAGAUAUCAGCCAGGGUAAACAAGACUUUGAAGCCCAGGAGCAUUUGGAUCGAUUAAAAAGACAGAGAAUACUAAAUAAACUCGGCGAAAGCAACGUGACGCAUUUCACUGUGCCCUGGACCUCAGAAGGGAUCAACGUAGCCGACAGGCGGCACCAACGAUACCUGACCGAGUUCUGUGACAAGUUUGAGUCUGAUAUCCACAGACUAAUAGAUAAAAGUUUCAACAUUAUGAAACUUAACAAGGUAGACCAGAAUCCACUGUUAAAGGAGAUUCUCCAUCAUAGUUGGUUGUGUAGAGACAAAUGCGCGUCGUUCAGGGGACGACAAGACGUUCUCGAACGAGCCAGGAAUUUUCUUUCCCAUGACAAGAAAUUGAAACCUCUUGUUAUAUACGGGUCUUCUGGAUCUGGUAAGACUUCCAUCAUGGCAAUGAUUGUAAGUAAAGUCAAAGAUUGGCUCGGGAAAAGUUCGGUUUGUGUUUUUCGCUUCCUCGGGACGUCCCCGGAUACUUCGAACAUCGUUGCGACCAUCACGAGUAUAAGUCGACAGAUUCACGAAGUUUACAAUCUUGGCCCUCUGAAGGAAGAAAUAGCCGAAGAUUACUCUCAGCUGGUCAGACAUUUUCACGAAUUGCUUUCUUCCUCGGAGAUAUCUGCAGAGAAGCCCCUAGUCCUGGUGGUUGAUUCCAUUGACCAGUUAUCGCCCAGCUUCAACGCGCAUCUCAUGAAUUGGCUACCAAAAUCUUGUUCUUCUAAUGUCAAGAUAAUCCUUUCUGUUUUGCCCGGAUAUUACGACAUUUUACCGACACUUCGCCGAAGCCUUCACGACGAACAAUGUUACAUCGAAGUUCCUUCCCUUACCAGAGAGACUGGCCAAGAGAUCCUAGACGCUUGGCUCCAGGGUAUCGGACGAACUUUGAAUGACCAUCAACGUAGUGUCGUCAUGGCCUCAUUUGACAAAUGUCCACAGCCUCUUUUCCUCAAGCUCAUAUUCACAGAAGCAUCGCAAUGGUCUUCAUACACAGACGUCAGCGGUAUCUCCCUCGGCGCAAGCGUUAAAGAAGCCAUUGGAUUUUUAUUCGAUAGGCUGGAAAGGAAACACGGUAGAAUUUUGGUCGCGCAUGCCCUUGGAUAUAUGACCGCUGCACGUAACGGCCUGACAAAGAACGAGCUCGAAGACAUUUUGUCACUAGAUGAUGACGUCAUAGAUGACGUCUAUCAGUAUUGGGAUCCUCCUGUUGAAGGUGUUGUUCGCUUGCCAAACUUACUGUGGGCGAGAGUGAGGCAUGACGUCAACGAGUUUCUGGUUGAACGUCAGGCGGAUAAGAAGACGAUAGUCACGUGGUACCAUCGUCAGUUUUGGGAGUCAGCAGAGUCAAGAUAUUUGGGUGACAAGAAAGAGAAGAUUUCUAGACACGCAUUAAUGUGUGACUAUUUUAGAGGGGCUUGGGGAGGAGGACGUAAGAAACAUAUAAUCCUGACGCGACGUAAGAAAGCCCUACCAGACGCAGACAGACAGGUUUCAUCCCAGCCUCUGCUGUUUGCCAAAGAUGUUUACAACAUUCGUAAGCUGAGCGAGCUGCCAUACCACCUCAUCAGGGCAGAGAAGUUUGAAGAUCUCGAUGAUAAGAUCCUUUUUAAUUUCGAGUGGAUUAACGCCAAGAUUCGAGGACAAUCUCUUAGUGAUGUUCUGGUUGAUUAUGAGAAUGCGAUAAGCGUAAGCAAAGAUAUGGGUGUGAGGCUUGUACAAGAGACCUUGGUUCUAUCAAGCAGCAAUAUCAAACACGAUAAUGACUGCUUGGCUGCUCAACUCAUCGCACGAUUAUUGGCCUUUAAAGAACAUUUUCCAAAAAUAGCUGUGCUAAUCGAGCAUGCCUACCGCUGGUGCUAUGCAAGACAGUCACCUUUGUUAAUUCCAAUGUCAGCUUGUCUCAUCUCAGCAGUUGCACCUCUUAUCACGAAUCUUCGUGGUCACACAAAAAGAGUUAACGCAGUAGCUGUCACGCGUGACAACAAUUUCCUUAUCACAUCAGGCGAAGAUUCUUUAAUCAAUAUCUGGAACACCAAUAACCACGACUGCUUACACACUCUUAAAAUAUCGGGAGAAGGUGAAUCCUAUCUCGUCCUCUCACCAGACGAUCGUCUAGUGCUCGCCGCGGCUGGUCUUGGCGUGGGGAUCUGGGAUCUAGAUACUGGAGAAAACUUUCAGAAAUUUGAAUGCGGUGCAAACGUCACGUGUCUUGCUGUAGGCCCAGACGGUCGUCACGUGGCUGCAGGAUGCGAGGAUAAUACGAUCAGGGUGUGGAAUAUUCAGAUUGGUACGCUGGAAAAAGAAUUACAGGGUCACGAAGGUCCUGUCAUUAGCAUCGCAUUCAAUCCACAAGGUCACGUGAUAUCUGCAUCGAAAGACGCUUCGCUAAGAGUCUGGGACAUAUCAAGUGGGAAGUCCAUCACGCAUUUCCAGGGCCACAAUAAACCAGUACUUUGCCUGGUUAUGACUAGAAAUGGUAAAACUGUUGUGUCGGGGUCAGAAGACAAGACAGUAAAAGUAUGGGACCUAGUGUCACGUGACUGCAUUACCUUAAAAGGGCAUGAAGGCCUUGUAAAAUGUCUGGCUGCAAUGAAUGACGGUACACGUGUUGUGUCCGGUUCCAAAGACACACACAUCAAAGUCUGGCACUUAACAAGCUUGAAGUGUUUGUUGACUUUAAAAGGUCACUCAGCCCUUAUAUGGGCCUUAACAGUAUCCAAGGACGACAAGAUGAUCGUGUCCGCAGCAAAAGAUGACAUGUUGAAGGUCUGGCGCUCAGAUGAAGGACAAUGUUUACAGACCUUGAUUGGUCACUCCUCGUGGAUAUCAUGCGUUGCUUUGACAACGGAUGGCAAAACCAUUAUCUCCGGGUCUAACGAUAAGAAUGUAAAACUUUGGAGUGCGGCUGAAAAUGAGCAUGCGCAGAAGCUCGCGAUUGCUGGCGAUCACGUGAUUCACCACGAUGCACAGCCAGAAUGUGUUGCCAUGACAACAGAUGGAUGUUGGGGUCUAUCAGGUGCCAAAGAUGACGCGUUUAAGGUUUGGGACAUGAAGAGUCAGAAAAGUGUUUUUUCAUAUCCCGCCUCGGUAUCUUGCGUGACCAAGGCGCACACGUCUGCGCUUGCAGUGACAGGAUCGCAUGACGGUACCGUGUCAGUUUGGGAUUGCGUGACUGGAGAAAAGGAAAAUGUCCUCAGUGGUCAUAAAGGGAAUGUGACUAGAGUUCUGAUGACGGAGGAUGAUUCAGAGGUCAUAUCUACCGGGGCUGAUGGCACAGUACGGGUUAGAUCUAUCGAGGGACAUGCAGAAGGAAUAACUCUUCGUAGUCAUACUAAUGCCGUGACAAGUGUGGCAGUUUUCAGUGACGGGCGACAUAUUUUAACCGGUUCUAAGGACACGACCAUCAAGCUAUGGGACGUUUCAAGUGGAGAAUGCCAACUAACCUUCCAAGGGCAUAAGAAAGACAUUACCUGCCUUGCCAUCACGUCUGAGAACAAACACUUUGUGUCAGGAUCAAAUGACUUUACCUUAAAAAUAUGGUCCACGGAAAACCCCGAAAGCAUCCACACAAUUGUUGAUUACAACGACUCUAUUGUGGAUGUAGUUAUGACAACAGACAACCGCUUUGCCAUUGCGGGCUCACACGAAAGCAAAAAACAGCUACGUAUGUGGGAUAUCAAAUCUGCUGAAUGCGUGAUGUAUUUUGAAGGUCAUACCCAUGCUGUCAUGCGGCUUAGAAUUUUGCGAGCUCACGACAUUUUGGUUUCCAGUUCUCGGGAUGGGACAGUCAAAAUUUGGGACAUCAAAACAGGAGCGAUGUUAAAUUCAUUUGACUUCCAAUCUCAGGUUAAACACUUUGAUUGUGCACUCGAGAAUGAGAAUCACUAUUCAAUGAUCGCAGUUACCAAAUCAGGUACUGUUGGUUUUAUGAAGCUAUGGAAUCCCAAAGAGCAUCCAGGUGUAGUGACGAUGCCAAAAUCGGAUCCUGUAAAAGAGAAAGCGCUUGAACCGGCCAACGAUAACAAAGAUGGCGAAGCAAACGAAUUGCAAGAACCGCGUCUUCCAAUGAACAGUAGUGACAGUGUUCAUGAAAUCAAAUUUAGGGGAUAUGGAAAAUAUCGUAGCCGAGGAAGAAAAUGUUGUAAAUGCUGUAAAUGUUCUUUACUUUAAAAAUAUAACUUCAUGUGACAUCUUCCAUUGUUACAUGUGACAUCUUCCAUGUUGUUGUUGUUUGUAGUAUUAUGGGUAAGGCUGUUACAUGUGACAUCUUCCAUGGUGUUGUUGUCUGUAGUAUAUUGUGGGUAAGGUUGUUACAUGUGACAUUUUCCAUGGUGCUGUUGUCUGUAGUGUUGUAGGUAAGGUUGUUACAUGUGACAUCUUCCAUGGUGCUGUUGUCUGUAGUAUUGUGGGUAAGGUUGUUACAUGUUACAUCUUCCAUGGUGCUGUUGUUUGUAGUAUUAUGGGUAAGGCUGUUACAUGUGACAUCUUCCAUGGCGUUGUUGUCUGUAGUAUUGUGGGUAAGGUUGUUACAUGUGACAUCUUCCAUGGUGUUGUUGUUUGUAGUAUUAUGGGUAAAGCUGUUACAUGUGACAUCUUCCAUGGUGUUGUUGUCUGUAAUAUUGUGGGUAAGGUUGUUACAUGUGACAUUUUCCAUGGUGUUGCUGUCUGUAGCAUUGUAGGUAAGGUUCAGUUACAUGUGGCAUCUUCUAUAGUCCUGUCUGUCUGUAGCAUUGUGAAUAAUGUUGUCAUAGGGAAAUCAGACGCAAAAGACUGCAGUCAAUCAGAUAAAUUGUUCAAUACCUUAAGAUAUUGACGAUUGACGCCAGUUUAUUGGACGAUUUCCAUGUCGCAAAUAUUGUCUGGAUUGCUAGUAGCAAUAAACGUAAUGGUAAUUAGAUGAAUUCAUUAUUUUAAUUAUAAUGUUGCUAAACAAUUGGUUAUUAUUAAUAGAAAAUGUCAACUAAUUCAACAAUUUUAACUAAGAUGUAAGGUGUAUAUAGCUUAAUUAGUUACAAAAUUCUCCAACUGCCUCUAGGGAGAUUACAAGAUAUCAAUUCUCCAUAACAAAAUGUUGAUAACAGCUGAACAACGUUAGUUGCAUUCAUUGUUCUACUAUUUCAUAAAAGAAAUAUCAAACAGUUUUCCUUGUUACAUGUUCUGAUCAAAACAUCUUGGAAUGCUAAGAGAACGAACACUUGAGAAGCUGGAAACCACUUCGACUCGGGUCGUUGUUUAAUCAUACGCUUCUCUUGUUAGUGUUCAGCCCUCAGCAUUCCGUGUGUUUUGAUCAGAUUAUCAAACACGGAAUUUUUUUAUUAUAAUUCUUCAUUAAUAAGUUAAUGCCAUUA